GACGAACGCUGGCGGCGUGCUUAACACAUGCAAGUCGAACGGAAAGGCCCUGCUUUUGUGGGGUGCUCGAGUGGCGAACGGGUGAGUAACACGUGAGUAACCUGCCCUUGACUUUGGGAUAACUUCAGGAAACUGGGGCUAAUACCGGAUAGGAGCUCCUGCUGCAUGGUGGGGGUUGGAAAGUUUCGGCGGUUGGGGAUGGACUCGCGGCUUAUCAGCUUGUUGGUGGGGUAGUGGCUUACCAAGGCUUUGACGGGUAGCCGGCCUGAGAGGGUGACCGGCCACAUUGGGACUGAGAUACGGCCCAGACUCCUACGGGAGGCAGCAGUGGGGAAUAUUGCACAAUGGGCGGAAGCCUGAUGCAGCAACGCCGCGUGCGGGAUGACGGCCUUCGGGUUGUAAACCGCUUUCGCCUGUGACGACGCGUGAGUGACGGUAAUGGGUAAAGAAGCACCGGCUAACUACGUG
rnacentral:rRNA from 1 species